ensembl:lncRNA
GCCAACAAAAGGUGUUAUGCGUUUAUGUUACGAUAGCUAAGAGUGGGCACUCUGGGUUAUUCGAUAAGAAGUGCUAAGCAACUAGAGAAUUCAUCAAUGUUCAAUAAAUGUUAAAUUUUCCAAUAGACUAUUUUAUUAUCUUCACACUAUGACUUUACAUUUAUUCCAAGAAAAGAAAGAAAAGAAAAAAGGAAAAAGACAAGACGCUAAAUGCUCGAGUUGCUGCCAUCUCACGCCGCUGAACUUGGACUACUGGAAUGAUGUGCUUUGCCAAGGCUGCUCAGCACAGUGAAACUCAAUGUACCUGCAUUUUCCCUUCGAAAAAUGGUAUUUAGACCAUCACAUGCUAAUCAGUUAGUUUAUAUCCAUUCUGGAAACCAGUUAAAUAGAAAUAAUCUCGAAAGAUUGAUAUUCAGAAGAUGACGUUGCCUUUACUCUGGAAAAUUCGAGCGCUUUGAGCAGCUAAACGAGCCCCUCUCCUACUGCUCCUUGUGCCCUCUGCACGGGUUUAUGUUCGGGUUGAGGAACCACCUUCUCCCACACGAGAUGCUGCAGAAAACAACUCAAAGAAGCGUUGGGACAGAGAAGCACAUGACAGCGAAGCAUCUCUGCAUCACUAUGAACACUUGGGAUGCUCGCCUUCGGACCUUCUGAAGCGAGGGUGGUUCUUUGAAUGACCUUCUGCCUGAGAAGUUCACCAAUUCCUGUCAUAGCUUCAUAUCCCUGAUCAAUGUGCUCAGAAAAGAGCAGAUGUGACCCCGGACACUGCACUGCAGACGUGGGUACUGGUUUUUUUAAAAGGCACCUCUGUCAACUUUGUUCCCGUGGACAUUCAUCUUUCCUUAAAAUUUCUAAAUUAAAAUUGAAGGCUUUAUGGAGAUUUACUAUCAUUAUAAGGUGAUAUUAAAAUAUGAUAGCCUUUAAAAUGUAUCACCACACUCAAUAAAUGUUACUGGGCUGGGAAAGUAAAGCAAAAAACAAAGAAAAUAUAUGAACAGAAGGGAUUCUGUAGGAUUUGUAGUUGAUUUGUUCAUUCCUUCUCUCUCUUCUCCUCUUUCUCUUCCCUCCUUCCUUCUUUCCUUAUUUCCUUCAGUCUUAGAAACUAGUUACUGAAAAUCUGUUACGUGAUGAUGUAAUGUCAGGACGUGCUCCAGCAGCAUCUCAAAUGCUGGAAAGGAUUAAUGUGAGGAACAGGCUGGCAGCCUGCUGAAGUCAUUUAAAAGACAGCAAAUGCUACGGAAUAAACAAGCAAAAAUGAAUGCUAGUUGGUUAUUAAAGUAAAAUUUCUUACUUAAUUGAAGACUGAUAUCACUUGAACUAAAUCUGACUACAGAAGGGCCAUCUUCCCGCUAAGUGCAGAGAGAAGAGUUGACAUUGCAUUUUGUAUAGUUGUGUAUGGAGAUGGCUUAUGUCACUCUGUCUUGAUACCCUUUUUCACAGAAUCAUCAUGCGAACUCAGACAUGAUUCAAAUCCAGUCAGAUCUUUACGCAGAGAUUAAGAAUCACAAAGUCUCUAUUAUUAACUAGAUUUUGGAUGUGAGUAUUUCAUUGUAAACCUCCUGGAUCCAUUGCCUUUCCAGCCAAUCUGGGUCAAGACCUCUCAGCUGCCAUGUGCUUUCCCCAGGUUUCCCGGGUUUCUAAUCUCCAGCUAGCUCUGUUCUUCAGCUGCUUUUUGACUGGUAAUGAGUAACUGGCUGGCUUACUUGCAGACUUUAUACACAAAAGUACAAGAAACCUGACAUUCUUGGUGGACGGAUUCAAUUAAUUAUCUCCUCUAAACUUGUUCUCCCCGCUGGACUUGUUCUAAUAGGUGUUUUUGUCCUCACUAUUUAUGUCUGGGGUUAUAUGGCACCAUGGAUAUUGAGUUUCUCUCUCUCUGGGGCCUCAAUCAUUGCCUGAUAGGGGAUGAUCAGAUCAUAAUGAUUAUUUCAGGCCCUUUCUCCUCCGGCUGUGCCUUACCCGAGAAACAGCCCAGAGGGUCUCAGAGUUAAAUCGCUUCUUCGAGCCACCUUCUGGGGCAGCUUCUUCAAGUAGAAAAAAUAUGAACCUUUUAAGUGAAGUUUGGCCUCAUUGAUAAACACGGGAUUCGCAUCUUCCCGUUCUGGUGGUUGCCUGCUCAGAUAAUCUUUCUUUAUUGUGGUGGUUUUAAUGACUCAUUUUUGUUCUAAAUUUUUUUCUCUCUAAAGAGCAAUAAGUGCACAUAGUAAAAACUUCAAGCAGUACAAAGUAUAUAUAAUAAGUCUCCUUGUACCCCUUGAGACCCAGUCUACCCCUUGAGACCCAGUCUACCCCUUGAGUGCUCCAGUGUCUAAAGCUGCCCGUCACACAGAGAAAAAGUUCCAUUUCUAUAGCCUGUGAUUAAAAACUGUCAGGAUCUCUCCAUGAUCUCUUUCCCUCAGUUUUUUCCUACUCCAGGCACAUACCCUCUGCUCCAGCCGUA